AUAUCGUACUACUAUAUAUCUCUGCGUAUAUUAGUAUAUAUUUCAUAUAUAUCUGAUUUUCUCUCUCUACAGAGUCGAAUAUUAACCUAAAUCUUGUUCUCUCUCAUCUGAUCUGAUCGCGUCGUCUCUCUCGGAAAAAGGGCAGUUCAAAGGAUGUCAGAAGGUGCUGAGUACCGCUGCUUUAUUGGUGGCCUCUCAUGGUCCACAUCUGAUAGAAGUCUAGAAGAUUUAUUUGAAAAGUUUGGUCAUCUUCUUGAGGCAAAGGUUGCUGUUGACAAGAUCUCUGGGCGUUCUCGUGGAUUUGGGUUUGUCACUUUUGAUCAGAAGAAAGCAAUGGAAGAGGCCAUUGAAGAAAUGAAUGGGAUGGAUCUAGAUGGGCGAAGAAUUACUGUUGAAAAAGCUCAGCCUUUUCAAGGUUCUGGUAGGGGUCAUGAUAGUGACCGCAGCCGUGACCGGUACCGUGACCGUGACCAUGGUCGGGAUCGUGAUGGCAGACGUGACUAUGGAGGUGGUCGGGGAUCUGGUGGUGGAGAGUGCUUUAAGUGUGGUAAGCCUGGACAUUUUGCUAGGGAAUGUGAUGAUGAAGGGUCUAGAGGAGGCAAGUACGGUGGCAGGGAUGAUAGGUAUGGCAGCGGCAGCAGUGGCAAUGAUUCUGGUCGUUAUGGUCCUAGUAGGAAUGGAGAUAGAUCUGGUGGACGCAAUAGGGAACAUGGGGGAGGUGAUCGAUAUAGUCGUGACCGUUCUGGACCAUAUGAUCGCCGGGGUUCCAGAUCUGGAUAAAUUGACUGCUUAAAGUUCUGUUGAAGAACUUGAUGUGCUGCUGGGACUGGAUGCAAGCGAUGGAAGUUUCUUUCCACUGGAUGUCUUGACUUCUUGAUGUUUGGGAGAAUGUAAUGGAUGAAUCUUUUGGAAGUGUGAAACUUGGCACCAAUAAUCUGCUAUUUUUGUGUCCCUAAAUGUUUGUUAUUUUGGUCCGAUGGGGUCCUUAUUAUGCUUGCUUGGCUUCUUGGCUAUUUAUGGUCUUUUUGGAUACAUGAUUGGGUUUCAUUGUCGCUAAUUGUGGAUACUUUUAAACAUAUUAAAAUUGAGAAAGUACACCGGUAGCAACAUGCCAUGUGGAAGUUAAUAUCCAGAAGCCACUCUUAUCUUCUGUGAGGCACAUUGAUGGGAGAGUUCCAUUCUUUUUUAACAUGCAGCUCGUUGUGUGGAAGCUCAUGAAGAGUUCGGCAACAAGAACCAUCUAUGGGAGAUUGUUCUUGUUGUUCACCACUUGUGAUGUCUUGGUUUUCAUUGCUGAGAUCCAGAUCAGUGGUUUUGUUUCCAUCAAGUCAGUUUGUCUUUCCCAUGUCAGCUUGUGGUUCCUUACCUGAUCUCUUUUUCCUUGAGGAUGGUUCUGCAUUAAAAUGUUGCAUUGGAGCCUGCCCCUCUUGACUCCUGAAUCUUGGAAAGGAAAAAGAUUCUUGGAUGGUCCCUGUGUUUUGAUGAUGGUUUUUUUUUUUUUUUUUUUGGUUAAUCUUCUGUUCUGUGUUCUUUUGUGUUUUUGGGUGAAGAAAGCGCCUUUUUAACAUGUCUUUUGUGCUUUUGAUUACUACUGCUGUCUUGUAUUUACAUCUUUCACCAAUUCCUUCUUUCAGGCACCAUAUGUAUGUAACUAACUAAAACCAUUGAAAUUUGACUACAUUUUUAAAUUUGUUUUCA